rnacentral:rRNA from 1 species
CAAAGAUUAAGCCAUGCAUGUCUAAGUAUAAGCAACUAUACGGUGAAACUGCGAAUGGCUCAUUAAAUCAGUUAUCGUUUAUUUGAUAGUACCCUACUACAUGGAUAACCGUGGUAAUUCUAGAGCUAAUACAUGCUAAAAACCCCGACUUCGGAAGGGGUGUAUUUAUUAGAUAAAAAACCAAUGCCCUUCGGGGCUCCUUGGUGAAUCAUAAUAACUUAACGAAUCGCAUGGCCUUGCGCCGGCGAUGGUUCAUUCAAAUUUCUGCCCUAUCAACUUUCGAUGGUAGGAUAGUGGCCUACCAUGGUUUCAACGGGUAACGGGGAAUUAGGGUUCGACUCCGGAGAGGGAGCCUGAGAAACGGCUACCACAUCCAAGGAAGGCAGCAGGCGCGCAAAUUACCCAAUCCCGACACGGGGAGGUAGUGACAAUAAAUACUGAUCCAGGGCUCUUUCGGGUCUUGGAAUUGGAAUGAGUACAAUUAAAUCCCUAACGAGAACAUGAG